UAGUCCACGCCGUAAACGAUGUCGACUUGGAGGUUGCUCCCUUGAGGAGUGGCUUCCGGAGCUAACGCGUUAAGUCGACCGCCUGGGGAGUACGGCCGCAAGGUUAAAACUCAAAUGAAUUGACGGGGGCCCGCACAAGCGGUGGAGCAUGUGGUUUAAUUCGAUGCAACGCGAAGAACCUUACCUACUCUUGACAUCCAGGGAAUUUGGCAGAGAUGCUUUAGUGCCUUCGGGAACGGUGAGACAGGUGCUGCAUGGCUGUCGUCAGCUCGUGUUGUGAAAUGUUGGGUUAAGUCCCGCAACGAGCGCAACCCUUAUCCUUUGUUGCCAGCGAUUCGGUCGGGAACUCAAAGGAGACUGCCGGUGAUAAACCGGAGGAAGGUGGGGAUGACGUCAAGUCAUCAUGGCCCUUACGAGUAGGGCUACACACGUGCUACAAUGGCGCAUACAAAGAGAAGCGACCUCGCGAGAGCAAGCGGACCUCACAAAGUGCGUCGUAGUCCGGAUCGGAGUCUGCAACUCGACUCCGUGAAGUCGGAAUCGCUAGUAAUCGUGGAUCAGAAUGCCACGGUGAAUACGUUCCCGGGCCUUGUACACACCGCCCGUCACACCAUGGGAGUGGGUUGCAAAAGAAGUA
rnacentral:rRNA from 1 species